GUCCAGACUCCUACGGGAGGCAGCAGUGAGGAAUAUUGGUCAAUGGGCGGGAGCCUGAACCAGCCAAGUCGCGUGAGGGAUGACGGCCCUAUGGGUUGUAAACCUCUUUUGCCGGGGAGCAAAGUGCCGCACGUGUGCGGUUUGGAGAGUACCCGGAGAAAAAGCAUCGGCUAACUCCGUGCCAGCAGCCGCGGUAAUACGGAGGAUGCGAGCGUUAUCCGGAUUUAUUGGGUUUAAAGGGUGCGGAGGCGGGCGGGUAAGUGAGGGGGAAAAUGGCGGGGCUCAACCUCGGCGGGCCGUUGAAACUGGGUGCCUUGAGGGGGCGAGAAGUACGCGGAAUGCGUGGUGGAGCGGCGGAAUGGAUAGAU
rnacentral:rRNA from 1 species